AGGAGGAACAGCUAUAGUGGCGGCGACCAGCUCCCCAGCCCUGGAAUCGGCUCCUGCAGUAACUACAGAGCUCUCAGUCUGCAGGUACCUGGAUGCUCCAGGGGCGC
rnacentral:pre_miRNA from 1 species